rnacentral:rRNA from 1 species
CAAUAGCGUAUAUUAAAGUUGUUGCAGUUAAAAAGCUCGUAGUUGGAUUUCUGGUGGGAGCGAUCGGUCUGGCGCUUAGCGCGAGUACUUGCAUCGUCUCCGGCCAUCCUUGGGGAGAGUCUGUCUGGCAUUAGGUUGUCGGGCAGAGGAUCCUCAUCGUUUACUGUGAAAAAAUUAGAGUGUUCAAAGCGGGCUUAUGCCGUUGAAUAUAUUAGCAUGGAAUAAUAAGAUAGGACUUUGGUACUAUUUUGUUGGUUUGCGCACCAAAGUAAUGAUUAAUAGGGACAGUUGGGGGUAUUCGUAUUCCGUUGUCAGAGGUGAAAUUCUUGGAUUUACGGAAGACGAACUACUGCGAAAGCAUUUGCCAAGGAUGUUUUCAUUGA